UACAAUCUACCGCAACGUAUGAAUGUGG
rnacentral:sRNA from 1 species